rfam:Aedes aegypti strain Liverpool supercont1.599 genomic scaffold, whole genome shotgun sequence.
GGCUCGGUAGCUUAGUUGGUAAAGCGCUCGUCUAGCAUACAAGAGUCCUGGGUUCUAAUCCCAGCCGAGCAC